GGGGAUUCCAGGAGUCAAGAUUCUGAUCUGGAGCAAUGUCAAGCUGAGGAGAUACUUGCUUGUGGGAGCAGUGUGGCCAGCUGUAGAAGCCACAGACCUGCCGGAAUUGUUCAGAAUGAAAGGACCGACUUGGGUUCUCAAGGGUGAUGAGUCACCCAAUCCAGAGUGCUACUGAAGUGGAAAUGUCUUAAAUCCUGUUUUGUGAUUCCCCGCCUCAGAGCUGAGUCACCCCUGACCGGAAGAAAGGAUCCUUCAUCCCAAGGCUCACUCACUUCUAUCCAAGCCAUCUCAAGGAACUCACAGUGUGCUCACUAAAGACAAACAAGGCAAGCAAGAGCAUCAUGGCACCUGCCUGUAACUCCAUUCUCAGAAAGUGAAUGUCAGAGGAUUCGAAGUCCAAGGCCAGUCUUGGCUGCAUAACAAGUUUGAAGCCAGCCCAGGCUACGUGAGACCCAGGACCGCAGGAAGGGUGUAGCAACCUUAUUGUUUGUCUCGGCUAAGGGCCAAAGAACCAAGGAACCCCUCCAGCGCCUGGACCUGAAGAUGAAGGGCUGUAACCCCAGCUUCUCAGGAGGACAAGGCUUCUAGUUGGCAUUGCUCGCCUGCCACUUCCUCCAUUCCAACUGUCUCUCUUCACUCUGAAACCCAAAGCCUGCUCAAGACCCAGUUGGUUCAGAGAUCAGGUUCAUGUGCCUUGGGAGAGAGUUCUGUUAGUGUGGAAAAUGAGUGC